rnacentral:lncRNA from 10 species
CGGGAAGUGCCUUUCUUUGUGGCCUGUGCAUUCGCUCUUUGAGGGAUGCCGGCUGAGCUGAAGAAGAUUUGCCGCACCCAUGCUGCCCUCAAGUUCCUCUUUAUUUAUAGUACUAUUCCAGAGACAUCCACACUGAAGCUUUUCCUCUGAAAAAGGAAAAUAAUGUGACCAAAUAAUUUAUCAUCCAUCCAAGAACAUUUUUGAGUACUCUUAAAAAUUACACCAGAACCACAGGAAUAAACCACAGCUGCUCUGGAAGGGUCCUGGGCAAGCUGGACCUAAGAGCACCCCAGAAAUGAAAGUCUUUGUUUCUUUUUAAAAAAUUGUUGACAUCACUGAACAGAGCUCAGUGUGCAGCCCACUGUAUCAAGUCCUAGACCAGCCAACGAAAGCUGCGUUGAACCUAUCCUGCAGCAGAAACACUGGUGAAGAAGCCUGGAGAAACAGAGGCCUGCAGUACCCAGUAACUAACCAGGCUGCACGAAUGGAGCAUGAGAACACCCUACAGCCUGUUAUUUGCUGCAUGUUUCUACGGGCACCAGCAAAGCACAACUUCUAGUAAUGGGAUCAGUAACCCAAGUGACGGAACUGAAAAGGCAAGUCUGAAUUUAUCUCCAUCUGUCAUGUUCCAGUGAACAAUGAAAGCACAGUAAAGGGAAACGCUGCUUCUUGCAUGUUUGUGCCAGUCCUUCCCUGCUAGGUACUAUUAUUAGCAGCAUUAAUAAAUGCCUCUGACUUGCAGUAAAGGUUCAGAAUGCUGGAGAGUUACAGGGCAUGCCAAACACAUAAACUGCCUGCCCUCAGGGCUGAUGGGCACGAAGGCUAUAAGAUGAAGCCCAAAUGGCAGAAACAUUCUGACCAGGGAGGAGUGAUUGCAGGUGAGGUAGGGAGAUUUUUUUUCCAGGGCUGUGCUGGAAAUGAAAGAGACAAGCCUUCGCGCCCACUAUUUGGCUGCUCAUCCUAUUCUAUUCUUGGGAAAUCAUUGGAGAGAUGAGAGAAGACAAGUGACAGUCCACUUUGAAUGUCACCUCUACCAUCCUGGAGCCUUGGGAGAAAGCUAAAGAUGUGUCCAGCCUUAUGGCUAAAUAAGGUUAAGCUGGGACAGAGACUGCUCAUUGUUCUCCAGAGGCUAUACUCUAACUUUUAGAAACACAGCUCUGAGUUAGCAGGGAACUCUUAAGACAUGGGACUCCCCAGGGGUGAGCUAGAGACACCCACCCGGGACUCUGUGGCCGUAGGUGUGGUCACAGGAUUGGGCUCUGGCCAACGGGUUGAGCACAGAAUCGAUGAGCACAACUUCCAAAUCACAGUGUUUUUGGUGGUGGUGGUUGUUGUUGUUGUUGUUUUAAUACAGAAACACCAAGCCUUCCAUUCUUACUUUUCCCCUCCCACUGGCUGGAAAAUUGGAAGAACUGAAGGAGCCACCUCAGGCCCAGGAAAAAAAACCACAUUCUGAAAGUUGCACGUCUAUCCAGCCAGCAACCAACCACACCAGCUCUAAACCUCUCACCUUCCUCUGCUCCAUUGCAUGGAAUAAAAGCAAACUUCUCUCCUACUUAAGGCACUCUGUUUUGGAGUCCCUUUCUUAUAGAAGCUUAUCUGAUACCACAUUCACAGAUGUGGCUUUGAACUUGAGUAAGAGAGAAGUGUCCUGUGUUUGUAAAAGGUUAAAAGUUUAUCCACAUUGCCUUCCUCUUGUUCCUCUCUCCGUCCCUCACCUGCUGGGCUCUAGCUGGACCGGCCACUUUUCUGUUCUUGAACUCCUUCACUUCUUCCCCACCUCAGAGUCCUUUGCCAGGAACUCUCUGUCUUGUCACUCUUCCCUUGGUUGACUCCUCACCCUCAGUUUACAAGUCACAUUCUCAGAGAGACUUUCUUUGACCACCCUAUAUAUAUUCAUUUUCUAUGGUACAUAACCAGUGACUGUAAACUUAGCAGCCGAAACACCACAAGUUUUUUUUUUUUUUUUUGAGACAGAGUCUCACCUUGUCGCCCAGGCUGGAGUGCAAUGGCACAAUCUCGGCUCACUGCAACCUCUGCCUCCUGGGUUCAAGUGAUUCUCCUGCCUCAACCUCCCAAGUAACUGGGAUUACAGGCGCACACCACCACACCUGGCUAAUUUUUGUGUACCUUUAGUAGA